UUAACAAUAUUUUUCUGUGAUUUUCAGUUAUUCAAUGGUUUUCUUAACCAAAGUCACUAUAUCAGGACCUGGAGCUGAAAAAGAAGAAAGAAGAAGAAGAGAAAGCAAAACAAAUAGAGUUGGAAGAGACUGAAAAAAUUCAUGAAAUGAACCCAGAGCUUCAGGAGGUAAAAACAAGACUCGAUAAACUUGAGAAUACUAUAAAGGAAAUUGCUGUUGAAUCCAGAAAACAAUCAGGGACUGGUAAUAUAACAAAGAACUCUGAAAAGGGUGAAGAUGCUGUUAAAACCAAACAUGGGGUAAAUAUUGAUUCAACCAAGUCUAUGGAUGAUCAUCUUGGUGGACAAAAAAUAGUACCGGCUCCAGUUUUGCCCAAAGGUCGUGUUAGUGAGUCUACAACACGAGAUGAUAGUAAGCAUCGUAACCACGGUGGAGGAUCCUCUCCAGAUGCUGAGAGAUGAGGAAAGCGCCUCUUAAUCAAUAUUACUGCCAUAUCCUGCGCAUGGUAAUUUUCCUUUGGUGAAGCUAGAGAAACGAGAGUGAGCCAUGUUGCUGCCAAGAAUCCAAUGGUUCCAGGUUUUGUUAAUAAUUAUAUAUGGUGAGGCUGUAUCUUUGAUCAUUAGCAAUGUAAAUGGUUAAUAGGUAAACGGAUCCAUGCCUAUUUUGUUAUGACAAUUAAUUACCUCAUGAUUAACAUUCAAUUUCUGUUUGUGUUGUGUAAAUGUACCCAGCUACAAAGCAAUUCUUCUCUCUUUUCCCCCUCUUUGAGAUAUUAUUCAAGGAGGUUGCCACGAUGUGAUUGACAAUUGACAAUUUUUG
rnacentral:lncRNA from 1 species